rnacentral:rRNA from 1 species
CGGCAGCAUGGAGGGCUUGCUCUCUGAUGGCGAGUGGCGAACGGGUGAGUAAAGCAUCGGAACGUGCCGUGUAGUGGGGGAUAACGUAGCGAAAGUUACGCUAAUACCGCAUACGCACCGAGGUGGAAAGCAGGGGAUCGCAAGACCUUGCGCUAUACGAGCGGCCGAUGUCAGAUUAGCUAGUUGGUAGGGUAAAGGCCUACCAAGGCGACGAUCUGUAGCGGGUCUGAGAGGAUGAUCCGCCACACUGGGACUGAGACACGGCCCAGACUCCUACGGGAGGCAGCAGUGGGGAAUUUUGGACAAUGGGGGAAACCCUGAUCCAGCCAUGCCGCGUGAGUGAAGAAGGCCUUCGGGUUGUAAAGCUCUUUCGGCUGGGAAGAAAUCGCACAGGCUAAUACUCUGUGUGGAUGACGGUACC